rnacentral:misc_RNA from 1 species
GAAAUGCGAUAAGUAAUGUGAAUUGCAGAAUUCAGUGAAUCAUCGAAUCUUUGAACGCACCUUGCGCCCUUUGGCUAUUCCGAAGGGCAUGCCUGUUUGAGUAUCAUGAACACCUCAACUCUCAUGGUCCGCCAUGAUGAGCUUGGACUUUGGGGGUCUUGCCGGCCUAACCGUCGGCUCCUCUCAAAUGAAUCAGCUUGCCAGUGUUUGGUGGCAUCACGGGUGUGAUAACUAUCUACGCCUGCGCUCUUCCACCAGGUAACCUUCAGUGAUGGAGGUUCGCUGGAGCUCACAGACGUCCUCUUCCCAUGGAGGACAGCUUUUGAACGUUUGAUCUCAAAUCAGGUAGGACUACCCGCUGAACUUAA